GCUGGUUUAGCUCCAAUGGUAGAGCAGUCGCCUUGUAAGCGAACAGGUAGCGGUCGUUAACCAGCACCA
rnacentral:tRNA from 1 species